AGUGGGAUUUCUGGGUCAUAUGGUAAAUUUACAUUUAACAUUUUAAGAAACUGCCAAACUGUUUUCCAAAGUGGCUGUACCAUUUUAUAUUCCCACUAGCAAU
rnacentral:pre_miRNA from 1 species